AUGGAACAAAGUACACGGAACAGCGGGGGCACAGGAGACAGGCACAGGGCAGGGAGGUGGGCAGCAGGGGCACAGGAGACAGGCAGGGGGCAGGGAGGUGGGCAGCAGGGGCACAGGAGACAGGCAGGGGGAAGGGAGGUGGGCAGCAGGGGCACAGGAGACAGGCAGGGGGCAGGGAGGUGGGCAGCAGGGGCACAGGAGACAGGCACAGGGCAGGGAGGUGGGCAUUGGGGCACAGAAGACAGGCACAGGGCAGGGAGGUGGGCAGUGGGGGCACAGGAGACAGGCAGGGGGCAGGGAGGUGGGCAUUGGGGCACAGGAGACAGGCACAGGGCAGGGAGGUGGGCAGUGGGGGCACAGGAGACAGGCACAGGGCAGGGAGGUGGGCAGCGGGGGGCACAGGAGACAGGCACAGGGCAGGGAGGUGGGCAUUGGGGCACAGGAGACAGGCACAGGGCAGGGAGGUGGGCAGUGGGGGCACAGGAGACAGGCACAGGGCAGGGAGGUGGGCAGCGGGGGGCACAGGAGACAGGCACAGGGCUGGGAGGUGGGCAGCGGGGGGCACAGGAGACAGGCACAGGGCAGGGAGGUGGGCAGCGGGGACACAGGAGACAGGCACAGGGCAGGGAGGUGGGCAGCGGGGGCACAGGAGACAGGCACAGGGCAGGGAGGUGGGCAGCGGGGGCACAGGAGACAGGCACAGGGCAGGGAGGUGGGCAAAAAUCAACCAAAAGAAGUGUGUGUGACAACUCCAUCUGUUACUCUGUAAAUGAACCUCAAAAUCCC